rnacentral:rRNA from 1 species
UACGUAGGGUGCGAGCGUUAAUCGGAAUUACUGGGCGUAAAGCGUGCGCAGGCGGUGAUGUAAGACGGGUGUGAAAUCCCCGGGCUUAACUUGGGAAUUGCGCUUGUGACUGGCGAGCUGGAGUGUGGCAGAGGGAGGUGGAAUUCCACGUGUAGCAGUGAAAUGCGUAGAGAUGUGGAGGAACACCGAUGGCGAAGGCAGCUCGCUGGGACGGUACUGACGCUGAGACGCGAAAGCGUGGGGAGCAAACAGG